UACGGAGGGAGCAAGCGUUAUCCGGAGUCACUGGGUUUAAAGGGUGCGUAGGCGGCUGUAUAAGUCAGAGGUGAAAGCCCGGAGCUUAACUUCGGAACUGCCUUUGAUACUGUAUAGCUUGAAAUAGGUUGAGGUCAGCGGAAUGUGGCAUGUAGCGGUGAAAUGCAUAGAUAUGCCAUAGAACACCAAUUGCGAAGGCAGCUGGCUGGACCUUAUUUGACGCUGAGGCACGAAAGCGUGGUGAGCGAACAGG
rnacentral:rRNA from 1 species